UAACCCUAACAUUUUAGAAUUUCAUUAUCUCUCCCUUCUCUUCAUGUUAUGAACUCAUAACCCUAAAUACAAAACACCAUCUAUUUUGCGCCGCCAUAGAAUAGGGUUUCUAUUCAGAAGAUACGUUCUUCACACACGGGCAACUACCAUUUUCGUUUUCAUUUUGAAUCAAGCGUUUGUUUAUUUUCGUUAUGAAUCAAGUUUUUCUUGUUCUAUUUCUCUUUUAUAUUGUUUUGAUUUGGGUAUAAUGUUUAAAUUGCAGACGGUGGGUGAAGAGAAACCAUAUAGUAGAGAAACAAAAUAGAUUUCUGACACAGUGAGGGUUCCAAAAUUGUGAAUGUGAAUGGGUGUAAUGUUUAAAUUGAAGAUUUCCACUGUUCUUCACUUAUACCUAGAGCUGAUGCUCAUGGGUAUAAUGUUCAAUUAUGGGGGAUGGAUUUCUAACACAGUGACUGUCUGUUUCUAGUUUUAUUUCUUCGUUUUUAAGUUUUCUAAUGUUCAAUGAAAGUGUUUUGUGUGUGCUUGGUUGUGGAUUCUUUGGGGUUGUAUGUUGUUUGAUUGGUUGUGUAUGAAUUGGGAUGAUUUUAAUUUUUAACUAUAUGCAAACAUGUUUUUGAAUAUGAUUUCAAACUGAAUUUCAAAGUGUGUCAUGGUUGCUUGGUUGUGUAUCAAUUGGGAUUGUAUGUUAUAUGAUUGGUAGUUUAUGAAUUGGGAUGGUUUUAACUGUAUUCAAUUUUUUUUUCAAUAUGAUUCGAAACUGAAUUUUAUAGUUUCUGAUAGUUAAAUUGUUCUGCAGGUAACUGGUGUAAAAGUAUGAUCAUUCAAAGCGCGCUUGGGACUGCAGAUCCCACAACAUUGAGCCAAUAUAGGUACAGAGAUAUGAUCAACAAAGCAGGAUAUCAUGUAGAUGCUGAUACAAAUGAUAGGAAGAUUCAGAAGCUAAUACAUGACAACUUAAAUGAUAAUGUUGUAGUAAUUUUAAGUCUUUGGUCAUGUGAAUAACUAUUGCCAAAUAGUGAUUAGUUUGUCAAA